AGCAGCUGAGGCGAUUGGAAUAAAUACAUUUAAGGGAAACUAGAUCAACACAUGCGGAAGAAAGGAAUAGAAGCUUGACUGGGUUAGAUGAAGAAGUGCAGGAGGAGGUGGGCUGAAUGGUCGGUUUCUGAGCUGUGAAUACAUGUAAAAUAGAAUGUUCUGAAUGGGAGAUGAAGUGAUCAUACUAAUUCUGCCCGGAGACACGCCCGUGCGAUUUGUGACCAGCACCUAUAGAAAAUCAAGUGACAAGUUUUCACACCUUGACACAAAAGAAGGGUUUUCCUAGACAAAGACACACAGACUGAGAAGGAACCGGAGGGGGAGACAGAAAAAUACUGCCGUGAAAAGCAGAGGAAAAGACUGUUUUUUGUAUUAGCCACCUAGCAGGAUGUUGGUGGGAACUGGUUCUCUAUUUGAAGAGAUGGAACUUGUGGAGAUUUAAGGAACAAGGAAUCACCAGUAUGGGCCUUGCUGCUGGAAGUUGGCUCAGGGAUACUGAGAGACUGAAUGGAACAAUGUUCAAAGGGCACUGGAAAACUCACCUGAGGAUGGCAAGGUGAAGGGAGCCUGCUGAAAACCCAUGGGGUAUUUGGGACUUAACCUUAAAGGCUGCAUAUCUGCUGGGAGCAUGGCUUUAAAGUAAUUUUGUUUUGUUAAAUAGUUAAUAGGGAAGUACCUUUUUUGUAGUUUGGUGCAUUAGUUUCCUAUUAAGUAAUAGUUAGCCUAUGUUGAUUUUAGUUUGCUUGUUUGUUACAGUAUAAGUCUUAAAAUGUAAAAUCUUGCAAUGUGAUUCUUUCUGUCAGUCGCUGAGAAAUUCAUCUCAUUUUUGUAAAAAUUAUUGGUCUCUAUGGGAAUCAUAACAGGUGCCCACAAUACUCCAGCUGAAGCCUUGCCAGUUAUUUAUGAAGUUCUGGCAUGAUGUCUUUGCUGUUAUAUUCUAUUCCAUUAUUUAUAAACCCAAGUAAGUCAUAUGUAUUUUUAACCACCUUAUCAACUUGCCCUAUCAGCUUUGAAAUCUCUCUACUCAUCCACACAUUUCAAGAUAGUGCUAUUUAUGGUUUACUGUCUUUCCAUAUUAGCCCUCCUAAAGUGCUUUGCUUCACAUUUCUCUGUGAGAUCCAUCUGCCAUGCUUUUGCCUAUUUCACUCAACUGUCUGUGUCAACCUGAAACCUUUAACUAUCCUUAUCAUGAUUGACCACUUUGCCCAAUUUUGUAACAUAAUAAAAAUUUAUACUGUUGCUCCCUGCACAGCAGUCCAGGUAAAGAAGGAAUGAAAGUCACAUAAAACACAAAGAAGUUAUGUUAACUUAUUUCCGAAUUCUCUGAAUAAUCCACAUUCCAAAUGAGAUAUUUUGUUGGUCAGCUAAUUCUGAAUUCAAUUGAAUCUUUCUUAUCUAGUAAAUAGUAAAGUUGAGCUGAGUAUUUUAUUUGCUUUAGUUUCAAAUAUAUUCUGUCCAAUUAGUUGUAACAAGCUUACAGCCAUAAUGUGCAGUUGUCAUAUCUUUUAUUGUCAUAUAUUAACAAUGUGUUUUGGAUUUGAGUUUUGUGCAUUAUUCAUCUGCAAAUAAAUUUGAUUAGUUGUUUUA